rnacentral:rRNA from 1 species
UACGUAGGGUGCGAGCGUUGUCCGGAUUUAUUGGGCGUAAAGAGCUCGUAGGCGGUUUGUCGCGUCGUUCGUGAAAACUCCACGCUUAACGUGGAGCGUGCGGGCGAUACGGGCAGACUUGAGUUCGGUAGGGGAGACUGGAAUUCCUGGUGUAGCGGUGAAAUGCGCAGAUAUCAGGAGGAACACCGGUGGCGAAGGCGGGUCUCUGGGACGGUACUGACGCUAAGGCGCGAAAGCGUGGGGAGCGAACAGG